AGUGAACGCUGGCGGUAGGCCUAACACAUGCAAGUCGAACGGCAGCACAGUAAGAGCUUGCUCUUACGGGUGGCGAGUGGCGGACGGGUGAGGUAUACAUCGGAAUCUACUUUUUCGUGGGGGAUAACGUAGGGAAACUUACGCUAAUACCGCAUACGACCUACGGGUGAAAGCAUGGGAUCUUCGGACCUUGCGCGAUUGAAUGAGCCGAUGUCGGAUUAGCUAGUUGGCGGGGUAAAGGCCCACCAAGGCGACGAUCCGUAGCUGGUCUGAGAGGAUGAUCAGCCACACUGGAACUGAGACACGGUCCAGACUCCUACGGGAGGCAGCAGUGGGGAAUAUUGGACAAUGGGCGCAAGCCUGAUCCAGCCAUACCGCGUGGGUGAAGAAGGCCUUCGGGUUGUAAAGCCCUUUUGUUGGGAAAGAAAAGCAGCAGGUUAAUACCCCGCUGUUCUGACGGUACCCAAAGAAUAAGCACCGGCUAACUUCGUG
rnacentral:rRNA from 1 species